rnacentral:rRNA from 1 species
GUCCGACGAGAAAGUGGAGCAUCCAUGAGUAAAGUGGCGCACGGGUGAGUAACACGUGACUAACCUACCCUUGAGUGGGGAAUAACUUCGGGAAACCGAGGCUAAUACCGCAUAACACCUACGGGUCAAAGGAGCAAUUCGCUUAAGGAGGGGGUCGCGGCAGAUUAGUUAGUUGGCGGGGUAAUGGCCCACCAAGACGGUGAUCUGUAUCCGGCCUGAGAGGGCGCACGGACACACUGGAACUGAAACACGGUCCAGACUCCUACGGGAGGCAGCAGUGGGGAAUUUUGCGCAAUGGGGGAAACCCUGACGCAGCAACGCCGCGUGGAGGAUGAAGUCCCUUGGGACGUAAACUCCUUUCGAUCGGGACGAUUAUGACGGUACCGGAAGAAGAAGCCCCGGCUAACUUCGUGCCAGCAGCCGCGGUAAUACGAGGGGGGCGAGCGUUGUUCGGAAUUAUUGGGCGUAAAGGGCGCGUAGGCGGUCGGAUAAGUCUUGUGUGAAAUCUCCGGGCUCAACUCGGAGUCUGCACGAGAAACUACCUGGCUUGAGUGUGGGAGAGGUGAGUGGAAUUCCUGGUGUAGCGGUGAAAUGCGUAGAUAUCAGGAGGAACACCUGUGGCGAAAGCGGCUCACUGGACCACAACUGACGCUGAGGCGCGAAAGCUAGGGGAGCAAACAGGAUUAGAUACCCUGGUAGUCCUAGCCCUAAACGAUGAUCGCUUGGUGUGACGGGUACCUAAU